rnacentral:lncRNA from 1 species
CAAGACCCGCCUCAUACCUUUCCCCCUUCUCAUUCCGCCUUCUCCUUACCCGCUAAGUAGUUCCUUCAUUUUGAAAAGAGAGAAAGUUGUCACCUUUUCCCCCAAAGAUUUUCCCCAAAAUCUAAUACAGAAAUCCCCCAAAAUCAAGCCUUUUUCGGAUCACUAUUUGCGGUUUCAGUCCCUCUAUAAAUCGGACCUCUCACAUUCUAUUCCAGAAUCAAUCCUACUCCGUCCCCGACCUAUUUAGCAUAAUUUCUCUCUCUAUAAAAAAUUUGAUUUCGUCAAUUCCUAAUUUUCUUCCCGAAGAUCUAUCCAUAUAAUUUCCAGUUUUGGUCAUGCACGUUGAAUUUCGCCAUUGAUCACGAAGUCAGGAGCUGGUAAUUGGCCUUUUGGUUAAUAAGGUGAGUCAAUUGUUGAUAAUGCAUCAGUUUCUGAUUGAUUUUUCGCUAUUUGUUUGUAAAUGGUGGAUCAUCGGUGGAGAAUUUUAGAAGCGAUCGAUUUGGGUGCAUGAAAUUAAGUUCAUCUGGGUCAAUAGUUGUGGUGAUGAAUCGAAGUUUAUGGAUUUAUUGAGUUAGUUCCGUUGACUUGAGUCAACCCCCUGUUGUUUUAGUCUAUUAGAGUCUGGGCUAAGCCAGAGAUUUUUGUCAAGGGGCCCGGUUUUUGGGAAAAAGAUUAUCUUGCAAAAGUCUGAAAGUUUUAUGCAAAUCUUGCAUUGAAUAUUCUUUGGAACAACUAUAUAUACAUACUGAAGAGGUGUUUAAUUUUGAAAUAAAUGAUAAUUGCGCUCCAAAGUUUACAAGUAGUGCUCCAUUGUUGAACAAAAUUUACUCAGUAUUAACUUUGCAGUGGAGACUGGAGAGCAAAUGAGAACUUUGCAAUUGAGUCGAUUGUUACUAUAUAAAUAUUAAUUAAAGUUUCAUGCACUCUUAGUCUUAGUGUACAAAAAAGCAGUUUUAGGAUCAUGACAUCUCAUUAAUGAAGUAUUUAUGUCGGACAUCAUUAUCCUUAUUUUAAUAACGUGUCAUGAUUAUUCACCGUUAGUGGAUCAAAUUUUAACUCUAUAAAUAUAUAGCAACAAUUGUAAACAAAUGGCGGUAUAUGUUAACAUUUAUAUGUAUAUAGAGAGAAGAAAAAGAGGAAGAGGAAGAGAGACAAUGAGUGAGAGACCAAUUAAACUAAUUAUUGAUUUAGAUAACAAGCAUAGGAUUUCAAGAAAAAGAAGGUUGGUAAACAAGAAGGUUUGAGCCUGUACAUGAAUACUGAAAUGCAAAAGUCCACGUCUAAUGUGUCUAGGAUUUCAAGAAAAAGAAAACUUCGAGUACUCCAGGAAUUUGAAGAAGGAAAAGUAGAGAACAGAGCGGGCUCAUCUCCAGAAAGGGGCAAAUAUUCAAUAAAGAGAUCAACAGUAAUGGAAGGAAUAGACCAGAAUAAACAUAAUGGAAGGAAUUUUUUCUGCUAUAAAGCCUAGCAUUAGGUAUAGCCUGACUCCUAACAAUCAAUAAUAAAUAUAAUGACUAGAAGAAAUUGGUCGUUUUGAUGUUACCUUACUUUUCUUGUGUCUGUGGAUGUCAUUUAUAUCUUCAUCUCCAUCUCCAUCAUGCUUCCUUUUCUAUAAUUUCUUUAAUUAUGUAAACCAAUUAAAAUGAGUGUCUUAAACUUUGUCUUAGGAUCCAGAAAUUCAAACAAAGGCUAACGCUUGAACUAAGUCUUAAUGGAGGAUAGCACAGUCGAACCUUCUCAUUAAUAUCAGUUUAUUCAAAAUUCUAAAAAAAUUACUUCAGGUAGAGAAAAUGGGAGAGAGAAACUUAUGACAAUAGUCAAAUUGAGUUGUUUGUAUAUCAUGUUACUUUUGCUACUGCAGGGUUUGCGACGUUUGACUACAGAAUGUCAUGCUGCCAAGCUUUUCUCAAAGCAUAUGAAGGUUGAGGAUCAGGUAGUGAUAUCUUUUCUCAAAACCUUUAUUAGGAUCGAGUACUGGAAUAAUAUAUAAGGUGAGGAGGUCUUUCAGAGCAUUGCGUUGUUCAUAAAGUAAAUAUGUGUGCGCUCAUUUAUUUUUUAGAUAAUUCUGUUUCGGAUUUACAGUUGUUCUAUUUUGACUCACAUAUUUCGAUACUUUUUAUAUUUCAAAUAUUUUUAUGUAUACAUUGAAGGAUACUUGGUGUAAGCUGUAAAGAAUACUUAGUGUAAGCUGUAAAGUAAUGAAUCUUAUGCUCAACAUGUUUUUCUAUUUUCUGCAUGUUUGAAUAUUUUUGGUUACAUCUUUUGUAAAGUUAACUAAUUAUACAUGGUUACGAUGAUUUUUGGGUAUGAAAUGAUUGUUUUUUUUGGUGGUUUGUAUAUGUAUUGAUGAUUGUAAGUUUUGUAGACAGAUUUAAAAUUUUCUGGAUAUCUAUUUUUAAAGGAAACUUUGCCGAAAUUUCUUAAAAUUUGUACUGACUAGCUUGAUAUUUUGAUGGUUGGAUAUGUGUUGAUGAUUGAGUAUGUAUAUAUCUUUAGAUAAUGUAAUAUUUUUCAUUACGUCGUGCCUUUAUGUUGUUAUAUGUACAUCAUUCACUGGUAUUAAUCUAAUCUAAUUUCAAGAUGGUUGUUAUAUGUACAUGUUGCGUCUAGAUUUUGUGUCACUAGGAUAUAAUUCUCCUCUUAGUAGCAUGUGUUUGUUAAGAAAGAGCAGUUCAAGUCCCAGAUAUCACAUGUUGCUGCAAAAUAACUCUCAUUUCAAUUUUUUUUGUUUAUAAUUUAUUUUUAUUUUUUUGAGAAUUAUACAGUGCCUUCAGGCACGGGUUAUCGCUAGUUAUUACAAUAAUAGUGCACUCAUAAAAUAUUUACACAAUUAAUACAUUUAAAAUUUUAUUUACAUAAUUAGUGAAUUUAUUCUUCCUUUUAUUUAGUUAUGUGAUUUACUUAAUUAGUAAAUUUAUUCUUGCUUUAAUUAUUAGUACCUGCUUUUGAUUCCCAUCACCACCAUCUUCUCCCCUCCUCUUCCUCCGCCAUCUUCUCCCCUCCUCCGCCGCCAUCUUCUCCCCUCCCGCUUCCCCUUUGCCAUCUCNNNNNNNNNNNNNNNNNNNNNNNNNNNNNNNNNNNNNNNNNNNNNNNNNNNNNNNNNNNNNNNNNNNNNNNNNNNNNNNNNNNNNNNNNNNNNNNNNNNNCCAUUUCCUCCUCUCCCGAUCCGUUUUCUCUUUGACAUCUACUCCCCUCUCGAUCCGCUUCCCCUCCAGCCGCCACCUCCACCUCCACCUCCACCUCCACCUCCCCAUCAGCCUCUAUUAUGGUCGUCUUCCGCCUUCCGUCGCCACCUCCACCUCCACCUCCUCCUCCGCCACCUCCAUCUCCUCCUCUGUAACCAAAUCGUCAAAAAAAAAUUCAGAACAGUAACUCAGGUACUUCCGGAGAUUUGCGGCGGAGGAGGAUGAUGAAGGGGAGGAGAGGGCGAUAUAGCGGCGGCGCAACCAAUGACUUCUCUGGAGAUUCACGGCGGAAGAGGUUGAUGAAGGGGAAGAGAGAGGAGGCUGUGAUGAAGAGAAUGAGCGGUGAGGGAGAUGAAGAUUAGGAUGGAGAAGAUAUUUUUUUUGUUUUCCCUCUUUUUGAUUUGAAUUAUGGAUUUGUUUUCGUUGUUAGAUCCCAAAAAUUUGAUUUGAAUUAUUAAUUAUGGCGGUUAUUUCUCCUUGAUUUUAGGUUUCCUUAUUAAUGUGAAAUUGAAUGGUUUAAAUUUGAAUUAUUAAUUAUGGCGAUUAUUUCUCCUUAAUUUUAGGUUUCCUUAUUAAUGUGAAAUUAAAUGGUUUGAAUUUGUUACUCUUUUUGUAAUUAUUUUGUGGAUGUUACUCUUUUUGUAAUUAUUUUGUGUGUAAUUACUUUCUAAUUGUUGUAUAUUUUUAUAAAGAAUCCUUUGUUUUAUACAAGAGGGUGAGGUCAGUCGUCUUAUCAAAAAUUGAGAUUAAUACAUACCACCUCUCUCACACACGCAAAAACACGCGCCAAGAACUUGUCAAGCAAGUAUGAUUAAGGAGCUUGCCCAAGUAAGCCAUAACCGAAUCAAAUAAUUCGGGCUCGAUUCGAAAAAAUACGAGUGAAAUUCAAAUUCAUUAAUAAUAUGAUCCAAAUAUGAAAAUAUAAAUAUCAAACUUAAACUCCAAAUGAAAAAUAACAAUUAAAUUUUUUCCACUUCGGAUUAGCGAUUGGUGAUAGUAAAACUUGGGCCAACGCCAGACAUGGAUUAUGUACCUAAUUAAAUAUCAUUAAAGCUGCCAACUUCAUUAAACAAAAUUUGUAAGCUGUAUUAUUAACACGAGUAAUGUUAAAGAUACAAACUAUUCUAUAAACUGUUGAUGUGGCACUCCACUUCAGCAUAUUGAUUAAUAAAUUGCUUCAAUGUAGUAUUCGACCCUACAUAAAAAACUGAGGUGGAACAUGUUUAUAGAAUAAUUUGUAUCUAUAACAUUACUCUUUUAACAUAAAUCACCUUGCUUGAUACGAGUUUGAUCAUGUCAUAAAAGUAUUAACAAAAAAUUAAACAAAUUACUGAGCACUAAACUUAAAAGUUGCUACCACCUUGGCCCUUGCUAGCCUCGUGCAUGUCAAAUAAUUUUAUCUAAUUAAAUGGGAUUAGCAUUUUGUUUAUUUUACUACUCCCUCCUAUUCAGAUUAAAUGUCAUUUUAGAGUUAAGCACACUUAUUAAGAAAUAACACAAAAUGUCUUUUGUGUCCCUAAUUAAUUAUUUCUCUCUCCACAAUUGUCUCUUCUCAUUCUCUACAAUUGUCCAUAAUUAAUUAUUUCUCUCUCCACAAUUGCAUUUACUAAACAUAUUAAAUAGAGGGGUAAAUUAGGAAAAAAUAGAUUCCAAAACGACACUUAUAUAGAAUAAAAUUAAACUCCCUAAAACGUCAUUUAAUCUUAAUAGGAUGGAGUAUAUAACAUGGCAGUUUUUCGGAAUGUACCACAGGAAAAAACGUUUCAAAAUUAUAUAUAUAUUUACACGAUGUUCGAAAAAAAGACGUUUCAAAAUUAAAUAUAUAUUUCUAUUUUAAUAUUACAAAAUGACAUGAUGUUCAUAAUUUAUUAUUAUUUUUCACUAUCAAAUACAUAUACAUUAUCAGAACUUCCAUAACCACGUGAUCCAAAUGGGGGUAAACUACAUGAAGCCCCCAUUCAUUUAAUGAGAUGAAGAAGUAAUAACAGUUCCAUGCAGUAAGGUUCUGUUUGAUUACCUCUUAUUGGCUCUUAAUGGAUUUGCCUCUCAUUCGGUUAGAGGCAAAUCUUGUUUGGCAAAUUUUUUUUUGCCUCUUAAUGAUUCUUAAUUGAUUAGACAUAAAAAUAAAGCUAAAACAUUCAGAGGGAGCCUCUGAGCGAGAAUUUUUUUUUUGGGACAAUAAUAACAUCUUCCGUCUUUUAUCCCAAAUCAAUCCUAGAUAGCCUCUUCUCUCCUUCACCGAAUCGCUGCUGCUCCUUCGUCUUCUUUUGCCGGUAAUUUUCUCUCCCUUCUUCAUCUAUUGUUCGUUAUACGGACAUACGAAUUUUCACAUUUGUUCUGUUUUUAUAUUAUCGUGUGUGACAUACGGACUUACGGAGUAGAGUAUUGAAUCGAUGAUUUAUAUUCCCCUCACCUCUACAUUGUUCUCUGACAAAUUGAACAACUACUAGCCUCUUUAAUAACCCUUCAGAGCUGCAAGCUCGAGAUUUCUUUUGCCUUUUAGGCCAUUAAUACCUUGUUGAUUCAAUAUACCACUCCUAAGAAAAUAAACAGGGGUAAAGAUUACUACAAUGGGGAAAAGUCAUUUUGUAAUCCUUUUACCUCCAUCUAGUAGCAACAUCCUAUUUGCCCAAGUUAUUUUCUGGCUAUGACAUUUGAUAAGUAAAUUGUAUUCCAGAUAUCCUUUGUAUGAAGUAUGCCUAUGCAGGCUUGAUUUUGUAGCAUGACUUAUGGUGUAUUGCCUUAAUUGUGGAAAGAAAAGGGGUUGAGCGAUAUCCUCAUUUUUAAGAAAAAUAAGAAGGCUGUGGGUUUAUCUAUAUUUUGGAAUUUACAUGUAUAUCAUGUACAUGCAUAGGAUGCCCAAGUCCAGUGGGGCCAUAUUAAUAGUAGAUUCUUGCCUGCAACUGUUUGUUAGGCAUUGUUCCUAAAUGCAUCUAUCGACAUUAAAUUUGAUACGGUACUUGAACGCGUUGGUUAUUUUGUUUGGUCUGUCUUGUUACUGGCGGAUAAUUUAUUGCACAACUUUGCAUCUUGCAUUAUGUUCUUUAGUUUUUAACAUCAUUUGCAUGAAGAAUGUGAAUGAGAAUUUGGAAAGAGUGCGACGAGGAGGGUUAUAUUACCAACUCAUUUUUUCUUCUUUCCUUUCUUUUAUCUCUUACCAAGGAGAGACACUGGACUACCUUGGCAUCCCUGUACUCCACUUAGCUGGGAAGUCAAGGUGUGAUCGUCAUCAUAGCAAUCUUCCAAGCCCUUCUGCUGGUAAUAAUCCCAAGUUUUUUGGUCUAUUAUACUUUGAUGAAUCUUUUUGUUGAUAAGUUGACAUAGACUACAUAAUGUGUCAAACUUUUGGGACAUUCAUUUUGUUGCACAAUAUAUUUUCUGAUGAUUUUGGUACUACUUUUUGUACAGCUCCUCCUGAUUUUUGUUUAAGAAUAGAUUUUGUAGUAUAAUUUGUUGUUUAUUCAAACUAUUUAAAUGUUUGUUUUUUAUUGUUUAAACUUUUUAUAAUAUAUGUACUCUGAUGAAAAGAGCCAUUUGUUUUUUCGUGUAGAAGACAAGUUCUUCUAAACUUGUUGAAUUAUAGCAUUUGGCAUGCCAAGUGAUAAAUAAUUUGUAUUUAAAUGGCUUGUUUUUAAAAGCUGCUGAACAUUCUACAAAUUAUGAUCUUUGUUUCAUUUGAGGAUUGACAUUUAUUGUUUCAUUUCCAUUGAAGAACAUGGAGUUUGGUCGACUAAUCUUGUUGUGUAGGAAUCAAAGUCAUGGGGGUAAAAUAGUGACCGCAGUAAUUGUUGUUUGUCUGUUUCCCCUGAACUUUAAUAAUUUGUUGAUGACAUUAUUAAUAAUUUGUUAAUAAUUUCCCCAGAACAUCUUGUUUGCUCUUUUUUUGUUGAUGACAUUGAUUUCUUUUGUAGCUCGAUCUGGAGAAAUCUGAGGGUAGCUGAUGCUGCUUCUGGAGUUCCAAGAACUUAAUUGCAGUUGGACUUUUAGGCUAUUCUCAUGUUAGGAAUUUAGUUUCAUGGUGUUUGUGUUUGGAUUUGAUGUAAACAACAAUUACAUGACUUCUUUAGAGCUAUUGUACGAUGAAAAAUGAUGCUUAUGUAAAGAAUCUAUCCGCCAAUCUGAAAAACAUGCUGCUCUAGAUGUAAGAACAACUUUCACAAUUGUUCUUUGUUUAGUGGAGGUGAUUGUGGGAAUUUGCAUAAUGAUUUUUGUCAAUGUUCUCAAGUCUUUUAUGUUUUCGGCAUAUGUUUAUUGGAAAAUUGUGUGAAUAAUCAUAUGCAAGUAGGGCGAGAUUGGCAAGCUUGGGGUGCUUGAUAAUGCUUGUAACAAUUACUUGUAAAACAAUA